GCCGUGGGGAGGCCGGCCUCCCCGCCUUGCCCGGCUAUUGGCCGAUUUAGCUGCCCAUCAUGACGAGCAGCCUAUCGAAGGCAGCUAACUCGCUCGAGAUCCUGCCUGUUCGGCCAGCCUCGCAGAGGGAGGGAAGCUUAAAGGGACCCGCGUCGGCGCUUAUCCCCGAUGCCUUCCAUUGGUUGCUCUGCCCGUCCGUCAGAGGAAACUGCAUAGCCAUUGGCUGAAGGAAGGGCGGGGGGUGCAACGCAGAAAACAGAAGGAAGAUCAUCGUAUGGAAUAAUCUCAAGGAGGACUUCGUAACCUGCUGCCCUACCCAGCGUUUCCGAGUUCGAGGAUACCCGAGCGGCACGCCCUGAGCCCCGCCC